AUUGAACGCUGGCGGCGUGCUUUACACAUGCAAGUCGGACGAGUGGCGAACGGGUGAGUAACGCAUCGGAACGUACCGAGUAAUGGGGGAUAACUGUCCGAAAGGACAGCUAAUACCGCAUAUUAUUCGAGCGGCCGAUGUCUGAUUAGCUGGUUGGGGGGGUAAAGGCCCACCAAGGCGACGAUCAGUAGCGGGUCUGAGAGGAUGAUACUCCAAACUGGGACUGAGACAAGGCCCCAACUCCUACGGGAGGCAGCAGUGGGGAAUUUUUGACAAUGGGCGCAAGCCUGAUCCAGCCAUGCCGCGUAUCAGAAGAAGGCCUUCGGGUUUUAAAGGAAUUUUGUCAGGGAAGCGGUACCUGAAGAAUGAGCACCGGCUAACUUCGGGCCAGCAGCCGCGGUAAUUC
rnacentral:rRNA from 1 species